AUACGUAGGUGGCGAGCGUUGUCCGGAUUUACUGGGCGUAAAGGGCGCGCAGGCGGCUCAUCAAGUCUAGGGUGAAAUCUCCCGGCUCAACCGGGAGCGGUCUCUGGAAACUGAUGGGCUUGAGAGGAGCAGAGGAGAGUGGAAUUCCCGGUGUAGCGGUGAUAUGCGUAGAUAUCGGGAGGAACACCAGUGGCGAAGGCGGCUCUCUGGGCUCUCUCUGACGCUGAGGCGCGAAAGCGUGGGGAGCGAACCGGAUUAGAAACCCGGGUAGUCC
rnacentral:rRNA from 1 species